AUGUCAACCGCACUUCGGGGCAAAAUUUUUGCACAGAUGCUCCGCCCACCCGCCUCUCCCCAAAUCCAGCUAAAACACCCCACCUCGGGCCGCCAAAGUGGGUUCCGUUGUACGAUGCGAGGGACUGUAUUUUUUUUUUUUUUUUUUUUUACGAGAAAACAAGCAUCCAAAAAAAAAAAAAAAAAUUCAAACUGCUCGGGCGGGCCAAUGGGGAAGGAGCGGGAGGUGGGCGGAGGAAGAGCGCGGCGGGCGGGGCGGGCGCGCGGGCUGGUACCGCAGGGGAUUCGUGCAAACGCGCCGGGCGCACGGUUUGGGGCUUUUUUUUUUUUUUUUUUUUUUUUUUUUGCUUUUUUUUUUUUUUCUCCUCUUUCCUCCCUUUCCUCCCAAACCAGCCACAGCGCGAGACUCCGCCUGAAGCUGCAGCCUUUUGGAUCCACCUUAAAUCUUCGGUGGACUCGGCGCAGGGGACACCUUUUCGGUCCGAGGGAAGCUUGCGGACAGCAAGUGCGUACGCUCGCAAGGAUGAAGAUGAAAUGGCGAAGGCAGCGUUGCGCGGCCGCGGAGGAAGGUCGCUCGGCGCGGCGGGGCGGUGGGCGCGCCCCUGUCCUGUGGAUCCGCGGUCCCUUCCGUCCUCCAGUCACAGCCCCAGCCCCACGUUUGCCCAUUUCUUCCCUGCCCCGGUGCCCCGCGCUCGACAGCGGGGAUGCGAUGGGGCGGGGGGGGGGACUCCGCCGGGCGGCUCUAAGGUUGGAAGGGACCCCGCGGGCGGCGGUGGCGCUCGGCCCCUCCUGCGCGCCGCCGCGGUCCUCCCCGGCCGCCGGCGAGCCGGGCAGCCUUUCGAAAUGCGCGGGGCUGCGGAUCAUUGGAGCCCAGGGUGGGGGUGGGAGCGGGCGGCUGCCCGGGAGGGCCCACGGACUCGGGAAGGUUCUCCCGUUCGCUCAGCUCCCCGGCCCGCCACCGCCCGAGAACUGGCAAGGUGCUGGUGUGCAGGGAAUGCCUGUGGAAAGGAGCGGGGGCUUCCGCUUCUUCUGACCCCAGAGGAGAGGUGAUGAGGGGGGACAGUUUGUGAGAAACCGCCCCGCGCCGCUGCGCGGGCCCGGGCGCAGCCGCCCUGCACGGCCUGCGGGCGCCCCGGGCGCGGGAACUGCGCGCACCGACCCCGCCGGCGCGGGCGCUGCCUGUGGCGGGCGGAGAGGCGAGACUCGAGGGGCUCCCGGUCCCGGGGGCGCCAGCCUGCCCGACCCCCGCAGCGGCCCGGGCGGGCGGGUGCGGGGCUUCGGGGCAGUUUGCGGAGCCGGCGGCGCACUGCCCCGGGCAGCGGGGUGGGGGCUGGGGCUGGGGCCGGGGCCGGGGCCGGCGGCCGCAUCCCCGCCUAGGGACGCCCGCAGCCAGCCCCGCCGUCCGGGGCCGGGGAGAGGACGCCCGGGACUCGAGGACGCCCUUGGAGAGUUGACACCGACGUGUAAAGGAUCGACCCGGUGACUCCGGGGGCUGCGUCCCUGUGAACGUGCCUGGCGCGGCGAGCAUCCACUUCUUCGCCCAGCGCUCCUAACACGCAGUCUCUAAAAAUUCACAUCGAAGAUGCCUCUUGAGGAAAGGAAAAUGGGGUGCAGGCAGCAAUUAAGAGGAUUUUUUUCCCUCUGUUAGAAACACUUCUAGAAGUCCUCUUUGGUUCAGAGAAACUAAUUUUAUUUCAUUAUUUCCUGAUCCUCAUUCCUUCCCCCCCCCCCAUUUUGUUUUUCUUGCUUUUUCAGUAUCUUCCUGAAAAACACCCCGUCUGCGUGUUUUGAAUAGAAUCACAAAAACACCUUUAGCCUUUAAUUAAAAUAAUACCUACUUGGAAGAUGUAGCCCCGUCACCAAAUGAUCUUCCUUUCCCUUCCCCGCAGCCGAAGAGUCACUUUUUUUUUUUUUGAAAGUAACUUCAGAUCAAAAUAAGCUGAAACUAUCUUGUUUAGAGCCCCCUUUGGGGUGCAAUAAUGUAAAUUCAGGUAUUUGACGGAAACUGCUUAACCCAAAUUCAGAUUUUCGUGAUUUAACCAUCUGCAGAUUCCUAGAAAAAAACAAUUUACUUUUUACACCUCAGCUACAUUUGUAAGAGUGUGAAGUAACUAAUUGUUUUUUGGGUUUUUUUUUUUUUUUUUUAAGAAAAUUUGACUUGAAAAUGCCUUGUUUAAAUUUUUCUUAAGUAAAAAAUAUCUCUGCCAUGUGGAUGUGGGGCCCCAAACACUCAGAUUUGGUUAUUGACAUUAACCAGUUUUAGGUGGUGUAGAUUAUAACCAGGAAAUUUCGGAAUUGAGUGAUUUGUCAUGACCAGUUUAAUUUGGAGAAUACCUGUUCUAUCUAAAUUAGUGUGUAAUGCAUGCAAAUUUCUAAAGGACCUGUAUAUAAAUAUUUUGGACAAAGGUGUAGAUUAGAUGGUCUGAACAAUUGCUCUAAUUUCUCACAACACUUGCAGUGUGUAAAUACAGAAUUUAGAGAAGUCACCAUGUUACUUUCAUUUUCAAUCCUGCAAAUGUGUGAUCAGCCUACACUUAUGUAAAAAUUUUUGGUUCUGAUAUAUACCCUAUAAGACCUAAAUAUUUGAACUAUUGGAGAUUUGACAAACUUUUAUGAAAAUGUGGCUUUUCCACUUUACACGUCUAAAGUUUUGUCCACUCAAAAGUAGCACUUUCCUAAGUGGAAAACAGUGACUACUAUAUUCAGAGCCACAUAAACAUCAUCUCAGACGUGGGCCUAAAUUAUCAAGAUAUUUGCUACUUUGUGUUAUAUUUGUGCAAGUAUGACUAGUAUGCCAGGUCAAAUACCCCAAGCUUAAUAAAGCACAUUACAGUUCAACUCAAUGAAUAGCUAUGGAAGUUUUCUUUAUUGAUUGCUUGAUGUGUAACAAUAAUUGGCAUCUUUUUCACACAUUACAAAAAAUUAUACUUGGCUCAGUAUGCAACCUUUUAAGCAUAGCCAUAUUAUUUAACAGAAGAAAGGAAAAAAACUAUUCUACCCAAUACAGCAUUUACAAAUGCACAAAACAUGCCACUUUGGCUUGUAUAUGGUCUAGAUUAAAAAAAAAAAAAAUCUCUUUUUAACAUAAAUAAGUUAGUAUAAUUUCUCAGUGUCUUUACAGAGUUAUGUACACAGGUACACUUCAACCGGUUUUGUUU
rnacentral:lncRNA from 1 species